GCCAGUGAUGACAGUUUAUAAAAAUGGUUGACUGAUAAGCAACUUUAUAUACUUUGCUAGCUGUUGAAAAUCAUGAACUAGGACGGUCUGAGGC
rnacentral:snoRNA from 1 species